rnacentral:pre_miRNA from 1 species
CAAGUACUCCCUCCAUCCGGAAUUACUUGUCAUCAAAAUGGAUGUGUCUAGAACUAAAAUACAUCUAGAUACAUCCAUUUCAAUGACAAGUAUUUUCGGACGGUGGGAGUACAAG